UACGGGGGGGGCAAGCGUUGUUCGGAAUUACUGGGCGUAAAGAGCUCGUAGGCGGUCUGUUGCGUCUGCUGUGAAAACCCGGGGCUUAACCCCUGGCUUGCAGUGGAUACGGACAGACUAGAGGUAGGUAGGGGAGAAUGGAAUUCCCGGUGUAGCGGUGAAAUGCGCAGAUAUCGGGAGGAACACCGGUGGCGAAGGCGGUUCUCUGGGCCUUACCUGACGCUGAGGAGCGAAAGCGUGGGGAGCGAACAGG
rnacentral:rRNA from 1 species